rnacentral:lncRNA from 1 species
CCCGUUUCUUCACGGCGCGCGUGCGGCUUCCUGAAGCCCGGGAGUGAGCAAAGGUCCCGCUGGGAAGCUGGGCUGUGAGCUACUAAGUCGAUGUCCUCAAGUCCCUUUCGUCUGCUUCUCUGCAAAUAGAAGGAUGGCUGGAUUGACUUGAAACCUUUUU